GAGUGCGGCCCUCAGCCUGUCACCCACCUGUUCCCUGGCCUGGCGGCAUGACUCAUCCCUGAGGCCCAGCCCCCGUGAGCCUCCUGAUCCUCCUCCGCAGGAUGUGAUCUUCCUAUCUCCCAGUUCCCAGGCUGGGAGGGCAACCCCCGGGCCUCUUCAUCUCACUGGGCAAGGAACAAAUGAGCUAUUUUUUAGUGGGAAUCAGUUUCUGGAGGUCUAAAUCAGUCUUGGGAGUAGAUUCUUACUCCUCUGUUCUUGGAGACAAAACAAUGUGAUGAGUUUUAGUCAUGUCAUUGCUUCAGACUAAGAAAAUCUGCAGUUGGCAAUGGUGAGAGAACUCUCUCCUCCUUGCAGCAGCAAGCCUUCCUGUCCAGGUCUUAACAGAAGAGACAGCCCCUGGGAAAGAGGGAUCCCUGCCUCCAGACUGCCUUUGGACUUGAGCUAUUAACAUCAGCUCUUCCCUGAGUCUCCAGCCUGCUGGCCUGCCCUGAAGAUUUCAAAACAGCUGGCUCCCACUUUCUCAUGAGCCAAUUCCUUAAAGUAAAUCACUCUGUAUACAGACAGCCUAUUGGUUCUGUUCUCUGGAGAACCCUGACCAGUGUACCCUGUUGGGUCAUGAAUGUAAGCAUACAAACAUGUUUCAGGAUCUCACAUCUUAAAAGACAAAAUAAAUCCGUCCCUUGCUCCCACCUCUCCACCCACUCUUGGCCCAUUUUUCUCCUGAGGUCACAGCAAAUCUCCAUGCCGGCCUGGCUCCUGGCUGCCCAGCAGUGCCAGACAUGUACUCUGUCUCAGCCCUGCCAGUGAGCCUCUUCCCUCAGGAGAUGGCCCUCGUCAGGGCCGUGAGGAUCCCAGGCCAUGAUGGCUGCCAAGGUCAUGUUCCAUUCUUCUUGUCUGAUUCCAACCACUUAUCGGCAUUUGGCACCAUUUUCUUUUGGAAACUGCUUUUUCUCCAGGCUUCUGUGGACUCUUACCUGGUGGAUUUCCUUCUGCCUGUUUCCUUCCUAGUUUCUUACUUAUGGUGCUGAAAUGCCGCAGCCCCCGCUGGGCUCUGCUCUGGCCCUCUCUCUCCUUUACCACUCUUCCCGGAACCUCCUCCAGGCCAGGCUUGUCCUGAUGACCCCCAUUCUGUCUCUCUCAUCCUGGCCCCUCCCUGAAAAUCCAGACCCACACCUCCACCUGCACACCUGGCAUCCUACGCAGGCUUCUCAUAGGCUUCUCCACCUCUUCAGGGGCAAAGCGGAGCUUGUGGCUCUCAACUCCAGUGAACUGAUCUUGCAGUCUCAGUAAACAGAUUCAUGCAGUGGCUCAGGCCACCCACAGGCAUUAUUCUUCCCCUCCCCACAUACUUCAAUGUGUUGUAGUGUUAUUGAAAUAUAAUUUUAUGCCAUGAAGUUUUACUCACUUAAAUUGUACAAUUCAGUGUUUUAAAAUAUAUUCACAGAGCUCUGUAAUAAUCACUAUAAUGUAAGUUUAGAAUACUUUCAUUCAUUAUUUGUAGAGACUAGUAAUCAUUCCCUAUAUCUUACCGCAAGCUGGUCUCCUCCCCAGGUAAUCAAUAAAUUACCUUGUGUCUCUAUGGAGCUACAUGUUCUGCACAUUUUAUAUAAGUAGAAUCAUAUACUCUGUGGCUUGUGACUGGCUUCUCUCACUUGGCGUGAUGUUUCUGAGGUUCACUCAUGUGGUAGCAUGUGUCAGUACUCCAUUCCUUUCAUUGUCAAAUAAUAUUCCAUUGCAUGGACCCACUACAUUUUGUUUAUCCGUUCACCAGCUGAUGGACAUUUGGGUUGUUUCCAUCUUUUUGCCAUUAUGAAUACUACUGCUGUAAAUAUUCAUGUACCAGGUUUUGCAGAACAUAAGUUUUCAUUUCUCUUGCCUCUAUACCUCAAAGUGAAAUUGCGGGGUCACAUGGUAACUUUAUGCUCAAUCAUUUAAGGGACUGAUGGCAG
rnacentral:lncRNA from 10 species